rnacentral:lncRNA from 1 species
CUUUCCCAGGUGUUCAGACUGUCGGCUGGAGGGAAGACCUUGUUGGGCGAAGAGGCAGAAGGCUUCCACUUUUGACCAGGGAGACAAUUUAGCACUUGUGAGAAGCCCUAGCGCCCCCCCCCCCCCAUCCCAGAAGCUUUAAGAGCUGUCAGCUGCGGAUCCCCACCAGGAGAGAGACUGGCUGCAUAGGCAGGUGAAGGCGCAUGGUCCCCUGGGAGUCUGGAACCAGAAAGGAUACUGCUGAGUAGUCAAAGCCACAUCCAUGGGACAGAUGGGGCCACUGAGCCCAACAGAAGGAAGAAACAGUGAACGUCACAGUCUAUCAGUCUAUCCCGGAGGCCUCUGACACCUCUCCACUCCACAGCUAACAGCUCCCUGUCCUGGGAUGGAUGACCAGUUUAGGAGGACUGUGCCGUGAAAUUGGCUCCCACAGACUCACUCCCCUCCUAUGACUGGGGGACCGAGAUCAUAGAGGCUGAGGCUUGUUGCUACUUUUGAAUCUUACCCCUCCUCUUUUUCAGAUUUUAAAUAUAUGUGUCAUGGGAGGGAGGGAGAAUCGCCCCGUUCAUCGCUGCUGUAUUUUUUCUUGUCAUUCUCGUAAUAAUAUAUCAAAUUCUGUAGUCUUCCAUUCGCC